rnacentral:rRNA from 1 species
CAGUCGCCGCGGGAAUACGUAGGUGACAAGCGUUGUCCGGAAUUAUUGGGCGUAAAGGGAGCGCAGGCGGUUGGAAUAGUCUGAUGUGAAAGCCCACGGCUUAACCGUGGAAUUGCAUUGGAAACUGUCCAACUUGAAUGCAGAAGAGGAAAGCGGAAUUCCAUGUAUAGCGGUGAAAUGCGUAGAUAUAUGGAGGAACACCAGUGGCGAAGGCGGCUUUCUGGUCUGUGAUUGACGCUGAGGCUCGAAAGCGUGGGGAGCGAACAGGAUUAGAUACCCCAGUAGUCCCUGUCUCUUAUAC